rnacentral:rRNA from 1 species
GACGAACCGUGCGAACGUUGUUCGGAAUCACUGGGCUUAAAGGGCGCGUAGGCGGCUUGCCAAGUCAGGGGUGAAAUCUUUCGGCUUAACCGGAAAAGUGCCUUUGAUACUGGCGAGCUCGAGUGAGGUAGGGGCAGAUGGAACUGUUGGUGGAGCGGUGAAAUGUGUUGAUAUCAACAGGAACGCCGGUGGCGAAAGCGAUCUGCUGGACCUCUUCUGACGCUGAGGCGCGAAAGCUAGGGGAGCAAAC